CCAAUAUUCUUGUGAAAAAUCAUGAGGGUUCGACUUCGACCUACCAGCCGCCCUAAUUCCAAACGCGCCGUUUCACCCUUCUAAAUUCCCCUCCCCGAACCCUAAUUCCACAAAUUCUUCUCAAUUCCGAAUUCGUCCGCCCCUGCUGCUGUCGUCGUGUUCGUAGUCGGCGGCCAUGUUUCCGUGGAACAUCGCGAAGUCGGCGGAGGCGAUGUUCUCGCGGUGGGCCGUGAAGAGAGUAUGCAAGUUCCUGUUGAAGAAGAAGUUGGGGCAGUUCAUAUUGGGUGACAUCGACGCCGACCAGCUCGAUGUCCAGCUCUCCGAGGGCACCAUUCAGCUCAACGACCUCGCGCUUAACGUCGAUUUUCUUAAUCAGAAUUUCGGUGCAGCAGCAUCGGUGAUAAUAAAAGAAGGAUCUAUUGGCUCCCUAUUAGUUAGAAUGCCUUGGAAGGGCAAAGGUUGUGAGGUUGAAGUGGAUGAACUGGAGCUGGUGUUAAAUCUGUGCGCAGAGAAUAACACACCAGCUAGUGCCGAAAGUUGCAACCUGGAUAAGGAUGCCAACCCAGGGACGUUAGAUGGUGACAUGGCAGACGAUGCUGCAAAAUCUGCUUCCAGGGAUGUGCAUGAAGGUGUUAAAACAAUUGCAAAGAUGGUAAAGUGGUUUCUCACGAGCUUCCACGUAACGAUAAAAAGGUUGAUUGUUGCAUUUGAUCCUUGUUUAGAGAAGAAUGGAAAGACAUUAGGGUGUUCCUCAACCUUAGUGCUUCGAAUUUUAGAAACAGAAUGUGGAACAUGUGUUUCUGAAGAUGAUAGUCAAAAUUCUGAUGCAAGAUUUGACAACUUUCUUGGGAUUAGUCAAUUGACCAACUUUGUCAAGUUUCAAGGAGCAUCGCUUGAGCUGCUUCAAAUGAAUGAUGCUGACAAUCAAACAUGCAGUCCAUGCCAGUCAGAAAGAACAUUUGGCGAAUUUUUUCCAGGGUGCCGUCCACCGGGUGCCACCACUCCAAUAUUGGUUGGAAAAAGAGGGGGAUUUUCAGGGAAUAUAAAAUUAAGCAUACCUUGGAAGAAUGGGUCUUUAGACAUUCGUAAAGUAGAUGCAGAUGUUUCUAUUGAACCUUUAGAAUUAAGAUUUCAGCCCAGCACAACUAAAUGGAGUUUACUUGCUUGGGAAAAAUACAAAAAUCUGGUGAAAGACAAGAGCAAUCAUAAGCCAGCGGAUUCUGUUUAUCUUGAUUCAACAUCUCACUGUAUUUCACCAAGGUCUGUUUGUUCGACAACAGAUAAGGUGAGGCCAAGUUGUGGUAGUUUUCCGACUGAAUCAUCUUCUUUUACCCUGCAAGAAUCAGUGGCUGAACCUCUGCUGCCUGGGUCACAUCUUAUAUUAGAUUGGGUACCCUUUUUCAUCCAUCAAAAUAAAAAAGAUGGUAUUGAAGAACUUGAUUUUGGUGCAAGUGUGGAUCAGUUUUUUGAAUGUUUUGAUGGAAUGAGAAGUUCCCAAUCAGCAUUAGGUAACAGUGGCAUGUGGAACUGGACGUGUUCUGUUUUCACUGCUAUCACAGCUGCAUCGAGCCUUGCUUCCGGAUCUUUGCAUGUUCCACCUGAGCAGCAGCAUGUUGAAACAAAUCUUAAAGCAGCUUUAGCUGGGAUUUCUGUUGUCUUUUCAUUUCAAGAUGAAAAGCAGAAGCAUUUUUGUGAUAAUAAGGUGGUUGAUUCAGAUGUUCUGUACCUAGGUGCAGAAUGCCGAGACAUCCUUCUUGUUACGCAGGUAUGCCCCCAAGAGAUAAGGUUCAAAGGAACAAUGGAGUAUAUCGAGGUUGCUAAUUACUCAAGUUACGAAGAAGAUACCUCUGAGUUUGGCUUUCAAAGGUCUAAUACCAAUAUUAACAGCCAUACUCUUUUGGUUCAACAUCUUCAAGCUGAUGUUCAAAGUGUUCUUCCACUGCUUCCCUCAUCUUUUGAAGAUACAGUUGUAGAGGUUCCAUUUGGGUAUAAGGAUGUAGUCAGAACUACUUUACUUAAAACUUCAGGUGUUACUCACUGUCAGUUUACUGUGAGUUCUAGUACUUCAAAUGGGAGUUUAUGCGGGACAUCAUUUUCACUGAAACUGCCACAUUUUGUUUUUUGGGUGGACUUCUCUUUGCUAAAUAUGCUAUUAGAACUGUCUAAUGAAGUGGGAAAGCCUGUCAAAGCGAAUGGUAAUCAGACUGAGUUUUCUUCUGAGUCCUCUAAUAAGAAGCAUGGAUCAUCUCAUGGGGAUCUUAGAAGAUCUUCUAGUCGUGUUAAGACCUUGUCUUCAACAGAAACUCAGCGAGGUGAUAUAUUGAUUCCUAAUGCAAGGAUAAUUCUCUGUUUUCAUGACAAAGGUGGUAAAGAUGUUAGAGGCUUCUCUUCCUGGGAUCAGUUUAUUGCUCUUGAGUUUUCUUCGCCAUCAAAUUUUAACAAAGGUGUUCAAGACCAUGGCCCAACUUUAGAUGCAAGGUCAGAGAAAAUGUAUUUUUCAACAGCCACACGUUCUUUACAUUUGAAUGUUGGUAAUCUGGACAUUUUCCUCGUCAGUCCUGCAAGUAAGGAUAAUGCUGGGAUCAGCUCUGGAAACAAGCAGAGGCAUACAUUUGCUGCAAAAAAAAUAAUGUCCGCCAGCAACAGUACGGGCCGUCUAUCUGUUAUUAGUAUGCUUUGGCAGGAGGGUUAUGUGACUGGCCCUUGGAUAGCAAAGAAAGCCAAGUGCUUAGCUGGUUUUGAGGAAUCAAGGAGCAUUUCUAAAUUUGUCGGCAAAGAUCAUGAAUUUGCUUCAGUAUCUACUAUUAAAGAUCUGCAAGAUUUGAAUUCUCAAACUCAACAGGAGAUUAUCUUGAGCUCCUCGUUUUCCCUACAUGUUUGUCUACCCUCUGUUUCAAUAAAUUUGGACUAUUCUCAAUAUAAAGGUUUAUAUUGUCUAUUAGAUCAAAUGUUAAAUGACUUAAACUCGGACUGUGAUUCAGUCAAUUUUAAGGAAGCAUCUUCCGCAUCCCAGACAUCUAUCCUUGUUAGAUGUGAUUCUGUUGAAAUUUUGAUUAGCCUGGAUGUGAAGGAGAUUGUCAAAAGCUCAAUACAGAGUGAACUUCCUGGGUCGUGGCAUCAGCUGAAACUGAAAAUUCAGAAGCUAGAUGUGCUGUCUGUCUCCAAUAUUGGAGGUGUAUCAGGUGCCGAUUUUUUCUGGCUGGCCCAUGGUGAAGGUAAAUUGUGGGGUUACAUAACUGGUAUUCCUGAUCAGGAGUUUCUUCUGAUUGCGUGCAGCAACUCAACAAUGAAACGCGGUGAUGGAGGGGGCUCUAAUGCAUUAUCCUCCAGGCUAGCUGGUUCUGAUAUUGUACAUUUGUGGGAUCCCAAAAGUUUUCAUGGUUCUACGUCUGUAACUGUCAGAUGUGCCACAAUAGUUGCAUUAGGUGGUCGCUUGGAUUGGGCAGAUGCACUAUGCUCUUUUUUCAUUAUUCCUUGUGAAAAUGAAGCGGAACAGUGUAACAAAAAGGAUGAAUUUAGUGCACCUCGCAGAUCUUCCUUUGUUCUUAACUUGGUUGAUAUUGGAUUAAGUUAUGAGCCCUACCUCAAGAAUGUGGUGGUCAGGCGUGAAGCUUCAGAUUCUGAGCCUAAUUCUUCAUCUUUCAAGGAAGAGACGGGUGAGGAACAUGUUUCUUGUCUUUUGGCUGCAUCUUCCUUGAAUCUUUCAAACUCAACCAGGGCAGGCUCAGUAGAAAAUGAUUACAGAAUAAGAGUGCAAGAUCUUGGACUUCUCCUCUGUUUAAUGUCAAAGCCUGAGGAUGUUGGUGGCAUUUAUAGUGCAGUACAUCUUCACAAGAUUGGGUAUGUUAAAGUUGCCAGGGAGGCACUGGUAGAAGCAACUUUGAGAACUAAUUGUAAUAGUGGCCUUCUCUGGGAGGUAGAAUGUUCAAAAUCUCACAUCUAUGUGGAAACUUGCCAUGACACCAUGUCCAGUCUGUUUCGUUUAGCUGCCCAACUUCAACAGCUAUUUGCCCCUGACAUGGAGGAAUCAGUCGUGCAUUUGCAGACUAGAUGGAAUAAGGUACAGCAGGAACAAGAGAGCAGAGGUUUUCAUGAUGAAGCAAGGAACUGUGGUAGUGAUCCUUUACAAGCAACUUCUCAAUUGCACACUUCUGGUGCAGUUACAGAGAGUGAAACUCAGUUGGUUGGGUUAAUGGAUGAGAUAUGUGAUGAUGCAUUUCUUUCGGAUAAGAAUCAGACCUGCCAUUCUGAGUCGCAAAUUGGUAUCUCAUUUGAUCAAGACCUUGGAGAGGCUCAUUAUUCCAGCAUUGCAACUCCUGAUAUUCUUUCACUUGGUGCACCUUAUAAUGGGUCAGUGCCUGAAGCAGAGUUGGAAAGUAGUCAAACAUCAUUUCUGCAAGAAGGUAAUGUUCUGGAGUUAAUAGAAGGGUAUUGUUUGUCUGAUUUACGGCCUCUCUCGGAAUUAUCUGCCAACAGACAGUCAUCGAAUGAGAUUCUAAAAUGCAAAUCCAAGAAUUUCAUAAAUGGAGAUGUUGGAGGAGAUAGUAAUGGAUGGUAUGGUACUUCCAUUAGCAUUUUAGAAAACCACAUUCCUGAAGCAUGUGAAAAUAGUGUGAAACAAUCUGCCGAAGACAAUCUUCCUUUUACUGAAGGUAUAAAGUGCAAUGAUUUUGGAAAAGCCAUUGGACGUGUACUUCUUAAGAACAUUGAUGUUAGGUGGAGAAUGCUUUCUGGGUCAGACUGGCACGAUUCUAGAUCAACUGGUCAGCGAUCAGUGGAUUUUAGCGGAAGGGAUGCUACUGUAUGUUUAGAGCUUGCACUAUCCGGAAUGGAGUUUCAGUAUGACAUUUUUCCCGUCGGUGGAAUCUGUGUAUCUAAGCUCUCUCUUUCAGUUCAAGAUUUUUGUCUAUAUGACAGCAGCAAAGAGGCUCCUUGGAAACUGGUACUUGGAUAUUAUCAUUCAAAGGACCGACCUCGAAAAUCAUCUUCGAAAGCAUUCAAGCUGGACUUAGAAUCUGUCAGACCAGAUCCUUUAACUCCUCUUGAAGAGUAUCGGUUACGUGUUGCACUCCUUCCCAUGCUAUUGCAUCUUCAUCAGUCCCAACUUGAUUUUCUCAUUAACUUCUUUGCGGCAAAGAGCUCUUCAACUGAUCAUUCUCCGGGUGGUCAUCAUGAUGCUGAUGGUUCAAAAGUCUUGCCGGUAAAAAGUAAUGAUCUUGCAGGGCAUACCAUUGAAGAGGAGGCAUUUCUUCCUUAUUUUCAGAAGUUCGAUAUAUGGCCUAUUCUAGUUCGGGUUGACUACAGUCCCAGCCGUGUUGAUCUGGCAGCAUUAAGAGGCGGGAAGUAUGUUGAACUUGUAAAUCUUGUUCCAUGGAAGGGCAUUGAGCUACAGCUUAAGCAUGUUCAUGCUGUUGGUAUCUAUGGAUGGGGCAGUGUAUGUGAGACAAUUAUAGGAGAGUGGCUAGAAGAGAUUUCUCAAAAUCAGAUUCAUAAAAUAUUGAGAGGUCUUCCAACAAUUCGGUCGUUUGUAGCAGUUAGUGCUGGUGCAAGGAAGUUGGUUUCUUUGCCAAUUGAGAGUUACAGGAAGGACAAAAAACUACUUAAGGGAAUGCAAAGAGGUACAAUUGCAUUUCUUAGAAGUAUUUCUCUUGAAGCUGUUGGACUUGGAGUACAUUUGGCCGCCGGGGCAUAUGAUAUUUUGCUCCAAGCGGAAUAUUUACUUACAGGCAUUCCUUCUGCGCAUUGGUCUGUACCACAUAAAAUGAAAACCAACGUUCGAUCUAAUCAACCUAUAGAUGCUCAACAAGGAAUUCAUCAGGCUUAUGAAAGCCUUAGUGAUGGCCUGGGGAAAUCUGCUUCUGCCUUGAUACGGACUCCUUUGAAAAAAUACCAGCGUGGAGCUGGUGCAGGACCAGCUUUGGCCACUGCUGCUCGGGCAGUUCCUGCAGCUGCUAUAACUCCUGCUUCUGCUUGUGCUAGUGCUGUGCACUGUGCUCUUCUUGGCUUCAGAAAUAGCCUUGAUCCUGAGCGUAAGAAAGAGUCCAUUGAGAAAUAUCUGGGUCCCCCUCAACCAUGGGAACAAAACUAAUGGUGAUUAAACGCACGACUGAAAUCUUGAACUUCCUGUAUUCCUGGAGAAGAGGAGAUUGGUAACGCGCCAUCUGUUCUUGCAUUAUAACAUAUGUAUCGUGUGUACAGUUACUGGAACUAUUUGCCGGAUUCUUUCCAUCAGAACAAGACCAUCUGGUAGUUCUGUACAAAAUGUAAAUUUCCAAAUAGUGCUCAUAAUUCUUAGCAUACCCCAACAGACGUUGUAGAUAUGGUGUGCGAUUGGCUUAGUUAGGAAUUCUUUUAAAAGGCAUCAAGUGUGUUGCUUUGUGUUUGUUGUAAAUAUUUAUUCAAAUAUUGUUUCUCAACGGGCAAGGUUGCUAGUCAGGAAGAUUUGUUGUGCCUUUGUGGAUCA